rnacentral:rRNA from 1 species
UACGGAGGGUGCGAGCGUUGUCCGGAAUCACUGGGCGUAAAGGGCGCGUAGGCGGCUCAUGAAGGCUGUGGUGAAAGUCCGGGGCUCAACCUCGGAUCGGCCGUGGCGACUCGUGGGCUGGAGCACUGUAGGAGGCGGGGUGGAAUUCCGGGUGGUAGCGGUGGAAUGCGUAGAGAAUCCGGAAGAACACCGGUGGCGAAGGCGGCCUGCUGGG